rnacentral:rRNA from 1 species
GACGAACGCUGGCGGCGUGCUUAACACAUGCAAGUCGAGCGGUAAGGCCCUUUCGGGGGUACGACGAGCGGCGAACGGGUGAGUAACACGUGGGUGACCUGCCCUCAGCUCUGGGAUAAGCCUGGGAAACCGGGUCUAAUACUAGAUAUGACUCCAUGACGCAUGUUGUGGGGUGGAAAGCCUUGUGCGGCUGAGGAUGGGCCCGCGGCCUACCAGCUUGUUGGUGGGGUGAUGGCCUACCAAGGCGACGACGGGUAGCCGGCCUGAGAGGGCGACCGGCCACACUGGGACUGAGACACGGCCCAGACUCCUACGGGCGGCAGCAGUGGGGAAUCUUGCGCAAUGGGCGAAAGCCUGACGCAGCGACGCCGCGUGAGGGAUGACGGCCU